UUUCCAGCAGGACAAACCUGGCAAUGGAUGUGACCUUCAGCACUGCCCAGGUUUCUUCCACUUGGAGGAGGCAAAGUGGUGAAUGGAAGGAGGCAAUCCUCUGGCAGUGGGAUGCUAGGGAGCGAUAAUAAGGCAAGUUUGCUUGCCUGAAGGCUGCUGGUGUCUGUGGUUGGAAGCUGGCUGAUGUCUCAUGAUAGACCUGAGAGAAGCUGGCAGAUGUUGGUGGAUGGAAGCCAGUGGCUUUUGGAUUCGGAAGUUGGUGGAGGGUACAAGGCUAAAGCAGACUGAUAUUUGUGGAUGGAAGUUCACCUUUGGAAGACAGUCAACAGAAGCCAGUGGAUAUUUAUGGAUUGCAGCCAGGGCAGGAACAUGAAUGGAUGUCAUCUUUUUGGAUGUCGGCUGGAAUAUGUUUGUGUGAGUACAUGGGAGGUUUCAAAUGUGGUUGAGGCAGAAUGGUGUUUGCGUGUGCACAAAUGUGAUGUGUGAAAGGUAGAUAUUCAUGAAUAGAUGGAACCCAGGGGAGGGGGAAUAUUGGUUUCAUGAAAUCAGAGAAUCAGGGAAUCGAGUUUGGGAGGGACCAUGAGGGUCAUCUAGCCCAACCCCUUACAAUGCAGGAAUCUUUUGCCAAAAGUGGGACUCAAACCCACUGGUGUGCUUCCGAACUGCUAGGUUGGCAGGAGCUGGGACAGAGCAACGGGAGCUCACCCCGUCGCGGGAAUUCAAACUGCCGACCUUCUGACUGGCAACCCCAAGAGGCUCAGUGGUUUAGAUCACAGCACCACCUGCAUCCCUGGAAAUAAAUAGUUAAAGGACCCCUGAAUGGUUAAGUCUGGUCAAAUGCGACUAUGGGGUGCUGGACUCCACUCCACUUUCAGGCCAAGGGAGCUGGCAUUUGUCCCCAGAGUGCUUUCCUGGUAGAAGAGAUGAAAUGAAAGCACAAACAAGAGUUCCCCCUUUAAACCUAAAUAAAUAAUGGCUUCUUAUCACACACACACACCAAUGGGAAGCGUGCUAAUUUUACAUGCAAAUGGGUCUGCUUUUCUAGGAAGGAAACUUAUACAUGAUGGGAAUGGGCAUCAGCCUAUGUAGACAAACACGUUGCCCGUUUCUGACACAGCAUCUAUUUCAGCCCAACAUCGACUAACGCAAAAAGGGAGAUCUUUUUCUAUAGGGGAUAGCAAUCAAGCACAGUAAGGAGAGAUGGAGCGAGACAAGCAGGUGGUGGCAAAGCUGUUUGGGCCUCCAGGGAAGCUGCAACUCUUGUUCUCAGCAGAGCAGGGCUUCAGUUCAACGCUGAGAAGGAUGGCGUUUCGAGUCUGACAGUGGCUGACAUGCCUGACAACCAAUCAGAUACACAUCACAAGCCCUGAAGUUCAUAUCAGGCAUUUGGGGAUUUCUGCAAGAAAGAAUAAGAAGAGCCCUAGCAGAUCAGACAAUCCUAUGGGCAGCCACCAACUGGGAUGGCUUCAAAAGAGGAUUACAGGAAUUCACGGAGGGCAAAGAUAUGAAGGAACAGCCAUUCUCUGCCGUAGUACAGCAGUUCACACCAGUGCCUGCCAUCUCUGAAACGCCAAGGUUGAAAAUUGCCAUCAUCAC